AUACGGAGGGUGCAAGCGUUACUCGGAAUCACUGGGCGUAAAGCGCGCGCAGGCGGCUAUUUAAGUUGGAUGUGAAAGCCUACGGCUCAACCGUAGAACUGCAUCCAAAACUAUUUAGCUAGAGUGUGGGAGAGGAAGAUGGAAUUAGUUGUGUAGGGGUAAAAUCCGUAGAGAUAACUAGGAAUACCAAAAGCGAAGGCAAUCUUCUGGAACACUACUGACGCUGAGGCGCGAAAGCGCGGGGAGCAAACAGGAUUAGAAACCCCAGUAGUCC
rnacentral:rRNA from 1 species